rnacentral:rRNA from 1 species
AGUCGAGCGGAAGGCCCUUUCUGGGGUACUCCAGCGGAGAACGGGUGAGUAACACGUGUUUAAUCUGCCCUGCGCUCUGGGAUAGCCACCGGAAACGGUGAUUAAUACCGGAUAGGACCACUUCACCCAUGUGAUGGUGGUGGAAAGUUUUUUCGGCGCAGGAUGUGCUCGCGGCCUAUCAGCUUGUUGAUGAGGUAACGGCUCACCAAGGCUUUGACGGGUAACCGGACUGAGAGGGUGACCGGUCUCCCUGGGACUGAAACACGGCCCAAACUCCUACGGGGGGCACCAGUGGGGAAUAUUGGACAAUGGGGGGAAGCCUGAUCCAUAAACUUCGCGAGAGGGAUGACGGCCUUCGGGUUGGAAACCUCUUUCAGAACCGACGAAGCGCAAGUGACGGUAGGUACACAAGAAGGACCGGCCGACUACAUGCCAGCAGCCACGGUAAUACGUAGGGUCCCAGCGUUGUCCGGAAUUAUUGGGCGUAAAGGGCUCCUAGGCUCUUUGUCGCGUCUGGAGUGAAAACACCGGGCUUAACUCUGUGCUUGCUUUCGAUACCGGCAGACUAGAGGUAUGCAGUUCAGAAUGAAAUUCCUGGUGUACCGGGAAAAGCNCAGAUAUCAGGACGAACACUCAGUGGCAAAGCGCGGUUCUCUGGGCAUUAACAUGACGCUGAAGAGCCAAGAGUGUGGGCAGCGAACACGAUGAAAUACCCUGGGUAGUGCAGAUCGCACACGAUUGGGCGCUACGUGUGGUGUCUAUUUCAUGGGUGCCGUGUCGGAGCUAACGAAUUAAACUCCCACGNAUGGGGAGUACGGCCGCAAAGNUGAUACUCCAAGGAAUUGACUUCGGACCGCUCA